AACAAUGCCCCUUUGGCUUUCAGUUUCAAUCAGCGAAAUUGGGCCAGCGAUUUGGACCGAACUGAAAUUUUUCUAAUUCUAUAGCUACCGUUUGGUUCGGGGUUAAGAAAAAACUAGUUAUUCCAGGAAAGUGGGGUUAAAGUAUUUUUGUGUUUGGUUAGGGAUUGGAGUUAGUCCAGGAUAGUAAAAAAUAGUGUUUGGUUGGAGUAGGUGGGAUAAGAAAGAUAGUGAGUUAUUAUGAAUAGAAAAUAGUAUUUGGUUGGAGUUUGGUAGAAUUAGGUAGGAUUAGCUAACCCGAAAUAAUUUAUUUGAUGUGAGGUUAGCUAACUCACCCAUAUUUUGAGGUGUUUGGAGAUAAUAUGGGGGUUAAGGGGUUAUUCCACCCCUUAACCCCCAACCAAACAAGGGCAUAAGGUGCAUGAUACACCUUACAUAGAUGCCUAAAAUAAUGUCAAUAAGGUGCAUGACACACCUUACCAGAGGUACAAAUAUAAAUAUCACUAAAUUUUAUAGGAAUAAUAUAAGAAAGUUGAAUUUUAUAAAAAUAUAUUUGUAAUUCGAUAUAUUUACAGAAAACUGUAUGCAAUUAACCCUAAAUCUAAUAAAUAUAUCAUAUGACAUUCUAAAAUUUUACAUGCAAAAUAUUAUAAAUCUAUCUAUCACUCUCUGUACCCCU
rnacentral:lncRNA from 1 species